CCUACGGGUGGCAGCAGUGAGGAAUAUUGGUCAAUGGACGAGAGUCUGAACCAGCCCAGUAGCGUGAAGGAUGACUGCCCUAUGGGUUGUAAACUUCUUUUAUAAAGGACUAAAACGAGGCACGUGUGCCUUUUUGCAUGUACUUUAUGAAUAAGGAUCGGCUAACUCCGUGCCAGCAGCCGCGGUAAUACGGAGGAUCCGAUCGUUAUCCGGAUUUAUUGGGUUUAAAGGGAGCGUAGAUGGGUUGUUAAUUCAGCGGUAAAAUGUCCGGGCUCAACCCGGGCCGGCCGUUGAAACUGGGGAUCGUGAGUGGGCGAGAAGUAUGCGGAAUGCGUGGUGUAGCGGUGAAAUGCAUAGAUAUCACGCAGAACUCCGAUUGCGAAGGCAGCAUACCGGCGCCCGACUGACGCUGAGGCACGAAAGCGUGGGGAUCGAACAGGAUUAGAUACCCCGGUAGUC
rnacentral:rRNA from 1 species